CAAAGAGAGUUUGGAACAUGCAGCCGCGGUGGCGACGCCGUGUUGUCCGGCACCGGUGGCCGCCACGAUGCUUGUCCUGCCCAUGCGUUUGGCGAUCAUCGCCUGGGCUAGGGCGUUGUUGAUCUUGUGUGCUCCACCAUGGCCGCGUGAGCCAAAUUGAACGGAGUCGCUAUCCGCAUAAAGAAAGAUUGGUGGGCCACAUUACCUACUUUUCCGCCACGUAUCUUUAUUUGUUUCCCUUUUUUUUUUUUUUUUUGGUUGUUGCUGUUAUUUCUGGAUGUCACUUCUCUACAACAGAUAUUUUUUUUUUUAUAUAUUUUCAAAUUUGGGUUUUUGAUCCGCAAA